GAUGAACGCUGGCGGCGUGCCUAAUACAUGCAAGUCGAGCGAACAGACGAGGAGCUUGCUCCCCUGACGUUAGCGGCGGACGGGUGAGUAACACGUGGAUAACCUACCUAUAAGACUGGGAUAACUUCGGGAAACCGGAGCUAAUACCGGAUAAUAUAUUGAACCGCAUGGUUCAAUAGUGAAAGACGGUUUUGCUGUCACUUAUAGAUGGAUCCGCGCCGCAUUAGCUAGUUGGUAAGGUAACGGCUUACCAAGGCAACGAUGCGUAGCCGACCUGAGAGGGUGAUCGGCCACACUGGAACUGAGACACGGUCCAGACUCCUACGGGAGGCAGCAGUAGGGAAUCUUCCGCAAUGGGCGAAAGCUUGACGGAGCAACGCCGCGUGAGUGAUGAAGGUCUUCGGAUCGUAAAACUCUGUUAUUAGGGAAGAACAAAUGUGUGAGUAACUAUGCACGUCUUGACGGUACCUAAUCAGAAAGCCACGGCUAACUACGUG
rnacentral:rRNA from 1 species